CAUCCCGAACACGACCGUUAAGCCCUCCAGCGCCAAUGGUACUUGGACCGCAGGGUCCUGGGAGAGUAGGACGUCGCCAAGC
rnacentral:rRNA from 1 species